rnacentral:rRNA from 1 species
UACGGGGGGGGCAAGCGUUGUUCGGAAUUACUGGGCGUAAAGGGCUCGUAGGUGGCCAACUAAGUCAGACGUGAAAUCCCUCGGCUUAACCGGGGAACUGCGUCUGAUACUGGAUGGCUUGAGUUUGGGAGAGGGACGCGGAAUUCCAGGUGUAGCGGUGAAAUGCGUAGAUAUCCGAAGGAACAUCAGUGGCGAAAGCGGCUUCCUGGACCAGAACUGACGAUCAGGCACGAAAGCGUGGGGAGCAAACAGG